AAGUCGUAACAAGGUUUCCGUAGGUGAACCUGCGGAAGGAUCAUUAACGAGUUCUUUGAAAGUGGGCUUCGAUGCUGGCCUCCCCUUGGGGAUGGCACCGUGCUCGGCUCCACUCAAAUCCACUCAACCCCUGUGCACCUUCCUCGAGUCAGUGAUCCUCCGUCAUGGGAGCCGCUCCUACCCUCAUCAGAGGGUGGUCGAGCUGGGAUCGCGUCAGCUCGGGGCCCUUUUACAAACACACACACCCAUGUCAGUCUUGUAGAAUGUGUCUACGCCUCUGGCGUGAACAAAAUCAAAUACAACUUUCAACAACGGAUCUCUUGGCUCUC
rnacentral:misc_RNA from 1 species